rnacentral:rRNA from 1 species
AAAUUGAAGAGUUUGAUCAUGGCUCAGAUUGAACGCUGGCGGCAGGCCUAACACAUGCAAGUCGAACGGUAACAGGAAACAGCUUGCUGUUUCGCUGACGAGUGGCGGACGGGUGAGUAAUGUCUGGGAAACUGCCUGAUGGAGGGGGAUAA